rnacentral:tRNA from 1 species
GCCCCUGUAGUAUAACGGACAAGAACGUGAGGUUGCGGACCUUAAGGUCGGGGUUCAAUUCCCCGCAGGGGCA